GACGAACGCUGGCGGCGCGCCUAACACAUGCAAGUCGAGCGAAGCGGCGAACGGGUGAGUAACGCCGAGGAACCUGCCUCUCACAACGGGAUAGCCUCGGGAAACCGGGAUUAAUACCGUAUAGUGAGAGAUGGCCGCGCGUCUGAUUAGUUAGUUGGUGGGGUAACGGCCUACCAAGACGACGAUCAGUAACCGGCCUGAGAGGGUGAACGGUCACAUUGGAACUGAGACACGGUACAAACUCCUACGGAAGGCAGCAGUGGGGAAUAUUGGACAAUGGGCGAAAGCCUGAUCCAGCCAUGCCGCGUGUGUGAAGAAGGUCUUCGGAUUGUAAAGCACUUUAAGUUGGGAGGCGUUACCAGCAGAAUAAGCACCGGCUAACUUCGUGCCAGCAGCCGCGGUAAUUC
rnacentral:rRNA from 1 species